UUUUAAAAACAUAUUUCACUCAAAUUGAAAACCAUAUUUCACUCAUAUUGAAAAGCAUAUUUCACUCAUCAUUUUUAGUUGAUCCAAAAUAACAAUUCACUCAUUUAAAAAAUAUGAAUUCACUCAUUUGAAAAGACAGAUUUCACACAUUAAAAAAACAUAUUUCAUCCGUUUUAAAAACAUGAUUCCAUUCAUUUCGAAAACUGAUUCCCUCAUUUUAUAUUACAGAUUUCACCGCUUUAAAAUAAUGCAUGCAUAUUUAAAUUUUAUAGUUUCAUAUUUCACUUGCAAUUAUAUUUCCUAAAUAUCAGUUUCACAAUCAGGAGUAAGCAGCUUCACGAACAUAAUCAAUUUCACACAUUGGAACAAUCUAUUUCAUAAAAUUGGUUUCAUUGAAUUCAAAAGACCUAUUUCAGUUAAUUGAAAUAACUCAUUUCGUAAAACUGAUUUCACUCAUUACAAAAUAUAUCUCAAAAACUAAUUCCACUUUGUAUUUAUGAAAUAUAUUCAAAUGUAUUUCAAUCAACUCAAAAGUUAGUU
rnacentral:rRNA from 1 species